AACACUCUGUGGAAGGGCUGUGUAUGGCACAAAGCCUUGCCAGGAAUCCAGCACCAUGAGAGAGCUGUUCCCAUCCCAUCCCACCUCUGCCUCGGUCAGAUGGUCACUAGUGAUGGUGGGUCACUGAGACUCAUACAGGCAGGAGCUGCUACUGAGUACUUUUAGUAACCUUUUUUUGUCACUGCUGGGGUACAUCCUGCAGUUUGGGAUGAUUUUGGCCAGAGAUUUCCAAAGAGAUUUUCCAGACUCCUGCUGAUGUGUCUCGUGUCCAGGCCAAGGUGCUAUUUCUUGCAGGGAAAUGAUCUUUGUUAAUUUUAGAUCUAGUUCUCCAAAGUGCCGAGUAGGCACAGCUAUUCCAGAGCAUGAGGCUGGUGCUCAGCAGGAAUCCAGCCCAGAGCUGUGUAUCCAUCCUCACUGCAGCCUCGGAGCCAGAGCACCAGCUGCGAUACCUGGAAAGAGAAAAGCUCUUUCUCGUCAAGGUCAGUGGAUUAAUUGUAUCGCUGGUCACAAGAAGAGGGGGAAAGAAGAGAUGGUCUUAACAUAACAGAAAUGGAUUUAGCAGGUAGAAGUCCCCAUGAGAGCCCCUGAACCACAUAAUCCAGAUCAAAGUAGUAAAGUAAUAGAAUACAUUAAAAACUGUGGAAAUUGAGUCUAGAAAUACAGGGGGCCAUCACUUUCCAGUAAUGAAAAAUGGGCAGGUUUGAUUUUUUUUUUUUUUUUUUUUUUUUUUUUUUUAUGACAAGGAUAGCAACAGUGCACUCUAAGGCCUGGCUGGGUUUGUCACUUCUGUCAGGAGCAUCCCUGGGGGUCUCCAGCUUGGCUGGUGGUGGGCUGAACAGGAGUUGAGUGCCAAGAGUUUCAAACCAACUCCUGUUGUUCACUUAUGUCAGUCCCUUCUGUCUGUUCAAAACAGCAUCCUCUCCUUGGACUUGCUACUCCCCCCAGAUCAGUUGGAUUUUGGGUGCAGGGGCAGCUGGGGGAAGGCAAAGCAGCAUGUCCAGCACUGCCUUCUGCUGCCCUCUGACAGCCCAGCGAGAGCUGCUCCUGCCUGAGGGUCUGGAGAGGAUUCUGGAUAGCACAGACUGGGAAUCAGUGCACUGGAGAGGGAUUAACAGUCCCUUGGAUCCACACUUUCACUUCAGCUUUAGUGAUACAUUUCUAGACCAAAUGCUGGCCAUGGAUUUCUCAGCGCUGACUUUCAGCUGCCCUUGUUGGACCAGCCAGGACGUACGAAGCAGGAGCCAGUUCCCUGUGGAUGGCCCAGAUUUAGCUCUGAUCCCAAUUGUCUGCUGUGCCAGCGGCGGGUUAGACUAAUAACCCGUGCAGGGAGGGUUCUGGUUACAAAAUGCCUGGAAUGAAGCAAGCAGGUGCUGGGAAGGUUAGCUGAGGGGAGCACUGCGUUAAUUCCUCUCGCUGCCCCGCCUGCCUCGGGAGCAGCGCGAUGGAUCUUCCGCAGGUGAGGCUGCACCGAGGGGCUGCCAUCCCCGGUGGGUCACACCGCAGAGCAGGGGUAGCUCAGCUCCGAGCUCCCAAGGCUGUGGCAGUGUGGAGAGGAGCCCCGGGAAGCAGCUGGGCUGAGGCUGGGAUCCCAGGCUGCUCCCGGGGAGGGCGGGCAGCUGGAGCUGUGCGUGCAUAGCCCGACUCAGGGUGGGCGACACGCGGUGUCAGUGAAUCACAACAGUCGGUGCCGCUCUCGGCAAGCUCUCAGGGCUUGCAUUUCAGAGCAGGAGGCUCACUCUGGGACAGCCGUGAUGGUUCCUUUCCCUGCUGCCGGCCUGUCCCCCCUGGCCACGCGGCCCUGCUGCAGCGGGCUCAGCUGCUCGCACAGCCACCGCCAGGUUGCAGCUCGGGGGAUGGAGGGCUCCUGAAAUCCGCACUGCUUUACCUUUCCCUGCUGAGCUGUGACCGGUGGUUCAACAGCUGCCACACGAGCAGCUGACCUGUCCUCGAGAAAACAAGGCAGAGGGGAUGAUAUGGGGGACAAAUUCAGUACGGUUGCUCCAAGGACAGCGUGGACCUCAGGAGCUUUUCAUCUGUGCACGCUCCACACUCUGGAGAAUCCUGCAGAAAUGGAACUGUGUUCUGCUGUGGCUGCAGUUUAUUUGGUGUAUUUAGGUGUAUUUCCUACUGGUGUAAGCUCCAACAGACACCUCUGGGUAUGUCUAAAAGGGUGUUUGUCAUCACACUGGUUUAGAAAUAAAACCUUUAAAUAAAUCAGUGACAAACUGCUGAACCCAGCUGAUCCCAGCUUGCACUGAAAAAUGGAGGCUCGUGCUGCCUGUUGUGGAUUGGAGUAACUGAACUAGCUCAGAUUUGCACUGGUGGAAGCCUGAAUGCAGGUAAGACAAAUAAACCCACUUUGAGUUACUGCUUGCUCCUUGUUACCUUUUUGCCUUUUAGCCUGAAACAGGAUUAGGAAGCCCACUGAAUGUAUCUGACCUAUUCUCAUCUUUAAAACACAACUGAUUUUCUCCAAAACGUAAUUUGCCAAAUGUGACUAUUUGAUGAUAAGACACUAUGCAGGGUUUGCUAUGAAUGUUUAUUAACAUCACAUGGAAAUCUGUACUCCAGAGAAGACAAACACGAGGCUGUCACCAUACCUACAGAGUCCAGGGAACCAAUACAAGCUUUGUAGGCUUCUCCUUCGCAGCAGUUGCAUGGUUGAUGUUCUUCUUAAGUUUUCCUCCUAUAUAGGAUCAGCUCAAGUAUCAACACCUUGUUAAUGGUUUAACUGAAAAAACCUUUAAGUUUAGUUAAUUUACCAUUGAUCUGGAGUGACUGAAAAGGCAGAAGAUGACCAGGAUGUGGGUUCUGACUUCCAAACACAGACAGUUCUGAUGUUCUGCACCAGCACCUCAUGGCAGGGGCCAGAGCUGCAGUCCCUGCUCUCCAGUGCCUGCACAGGUUACACCUUAGUUACUCAACCAAUAAUAAGUAAAAUUCAAACCAUUGCAUAAACCAGUCAUUCUUACAAGCACAGUUAAGGGCAUCACAGUAAACAGAGGUUAUGGUUUCCAGAGACCCUUAAAUCCUGGGCCAAAGAGCACAAUAAAUACAGUGGUGGAAGAGCACAGACGAGCCGUCGGGGCAGAGGAGGCAGUGCUAAUCUGUAUCAGAGAUGCAUCUUUUCCAUGUGAACCUCCAGAGCCCAGCAGUAUUGUCUGAGGAGAGGCACGAGGAUGGAACAGCAGAGUAUCAUUCAGCCUGGCAACAGCGUUUUCUCCUGCUUAAUUCUUCCUUUGAUUCUGGAAAACUUCCGUUGGCACACUUUGUUCACCCACAGAACAGGGCAUUGUAAGGACAGAGUAAGGAAUUAAACACUCUGCUGUUAUUGUCAGGGUUUCAGACUAAAGAAAACAAUACUGUAAGUCGAGGCAAGUUUUAUUUUGACUGUACAAACAGGGCGCUGGGGAAAAAACACAGUGGCUUGAUGUUGGGACCAGUUCUAUGAAUUAAGUGGAGUAAGAAAUUAAAAAGGCACUAAUCUUAAGAAAAGACACUCCGUAUAUUCUAAGAAUAUAAUUCAUUUAAUACUGUUAAUCUUAUAGCACAAAAAAUAAAACAAGCUAUGAUCCCCAAAAUAAAAUUUAAAAGCUUACACUUAAUAUUAUUGCCUGAAGAUCAUGGUCUUUAAAUUACAUAUUGUGUUUAAAAGUUUACACAGUGAAGACUGUCUCAAAUACAAGGCCACCUUUCCCACUGCAAUAAUUGUAUCCUUGUCCCAAAAUACACUUUAACACAAAUAAACAGAAAAUGACAACUCUACAGGAACGCUUUCACUGGUCCCAAAAGACAGUCUUUUAGGCAGGUCUCACUUUCAAAUGCAGGUACUGAGGAAAAUGCUUGAAAACUGGACUAGAAAACAAAGGCAGCCCAUUCAUUCCCAAGAUGUUAAUACAAUAUAAAAAAUUACUUUACAGGCACAUGAAAUGGCACAAAGAAUGCUGUUUUUCCCUUUACAAAAAUAAUGCUCAGGCUCUUCAGAGCCUCAACCCAAACAGGAUAUUCCCUUUUGUUUAUUCUUUCCCAAUUUGUAAACAAUCACGAAUUAAAUAAGCGCUUAUCCAGUGACGGACACUGAUUAAAACAGUUUUCAUUUAAACUUUCAGACUGGUCAGAGGCUUCAAUGUCUAUAUACACAUGGACACAGCAGGAGGAAGCCAAGCCUUUCGUGACAGUUGACUACUGUGGCACCAGGUCAUUACACCAGCUCCUAGUUCCAAAGCAAGGACAACUUUAAUGGUGCAUAGAUUGAAGCCAUCACUUGUAGGCUCUCAUGCUUCAUAUCAAGGUUACCUUACACGCCCAAGAACAUUUACACUGAUAAGAUUAUCACUCAGAUUUAAGAGGUUUCAUAAAACAACAGCACAUGUGUAAGCAAGCGACAAGCAAUUGAGAAUCCAGAGUCCUUCAAAGAGAAACACACACUGAUCCAAUGCAGUCUUUAUAUGAAAAUACUUGUCUCAUAGUAAAAUAGCCAAGACACAUUUUGAAGCGAGGUUACAAUCAGCUUGGGCUGGUCAGUAUGCUACAUUGAAACCACAUUUUACAUACCUGAACCACACCGCUGCUACUUGGAGAAACACUGUUCAUUCAUGGCCUAAAACCAGGUUCACAGAAAUUCAAGAAUUCUUGUCUUUGCACCAGAUACCACUACACACAAAUUUUGCAUAGUUUUGAAGGUAAAGUACUUUGCUUUUCUGCAGUAUUGGAACAUAAUUAAACCUAAAACAAUGUUUGUGAUCAAAGGGUACACCUUAUUCAAUGAAGGGAUGAGUAAAGAUGUUUAUUUCAGUGAAAAAACCAGGUUAAAAGUUAUGUUCAAGAUCUCAAAUCUCACAGCAUUUAUUUACCACGCAAAGGAAGAAUUCUACAAUCAGUCUUCUGAAGAGCUGCCUGUAACUAGGUCAGGCCUGAAAUAAGAUUUCUCUGCAGCAGACUGAGUUUAGUGCAGCUUGUAUUCAGAAGAUGACUUUCAGUAGUACAAUCUGUGUAGUAAACGUGCAGGUAUUGUUGGGGCACAGGAAAAACAUGACCUUCUUUAGUUAAGAGAACUGCAUAGCUUUUCUUUGCAAGACAAAAUGUCAAUGCCUAUUGUCAAGAAUUACAGCACCAAACACUUCAGUCAAUGCUACUCUACUUCACAGUUAAUUUGGUAGUAAAAUGCUCUACAAGAACUUCCAGACUGUCAGCCACUUGAUCAACACUACAGCAAACAGUUAAUAGAUGAAUGGAGAGACUUCUUUACAACCUGGCAUUUGAAAUGUCUGCUUGUGAUGCCAUUUCUGCAGUUCUUCGGUGCCUUCCAACCGAGGAUCUCAUGGCACUCCCACAUGAACUACCAACAACACGCUUUUAUUAGGAUCAAGCAACACAAAUCAACAAGAAAACAUGCUGGAACUUAAGACAAUGUUUAUAUCAUUAGACAUUUGUAAGAUAUGAUGACAUUCUGCAGGUGUUUGAAGUUUCUCAUUUUGCUACAAACAACAGCCUACCAAAGUUGAAAACUGGGAGCUGCUGUUUUCCUGCCAGCUUCCACACUGGACAUCUGCCUUAACCAGGCUGUCUGAAAAGGGAGGUUUUGCACCUGUGUCUUUGCAGACAUGUAUUCUGUUAAUUCAGUGUUCCAUCAUUUUGGAAAGAGCAUUCCAGUUCACCUACAAUACACAUCUGAAGGAGGUGGCACAGGAUUCCCCUGUGCCUACACUUUCAUGUCCUGCACCCAGGCUCAGGCUGGGCACCUGCAGGGCACCAACAGCGCUCACCCAGCUGCAGAACAAUCACAGCAGGAGAGCUCAGGAGGGAAAAAGCUACACAAAGAGGCAAGGAGCUACACCAGUAACAGACACCUCUGUGGCCCCCUCCAGCCCCAGCAUUAUCACAUGGGGAACUCCAAUUAACCAUUUUCUAGAGGAUGCUGGGAGGGGGAGGGACCUGGGUCAUACAUAAAACAGAGCCAAUGCCUUAGGAAGGGUAAAAGAAAGAUGUCAGCAUGCUGAGGAGUUGGGAUACAAGCAAGGGAAAAAGAAGGAAGGGGAAAAAGAAGAUGAAAGCAGCUCUGGGAGAGAAGCACAGCAACACAGACACCCUGGUGAAAAGGUACUGUGAAAGGGAGCUUUUGAUGAGCUGGGGCUGGUAUAGCUAGGAAACUUUGGAGAGAGCAGGGAGCCUGCAGAGAAAUGGAUAUAAAAGGUCUUUAGAUGUUUAAAUAAGAGGAUUUUAUCGGUAUUUACCAAGUUCUUCUGUCCCACUCCUACCUCUCCUCAUGGCAAUCUGAUCUGUCUACCAAGUAACAGCUUGAUGACAAGCACUUCUGUACUAGUAGAACUACACUUUCAACACUGCAGAAGAGCUGUAUUUAGACCAGGCCAAAGUGUUUCCCUUUAAAGCUCAAUUUCUACAGU